AGAGUUUGAUCCUGGCUCAGAAUGAACGCUGGCGGCGUGCUUAACACAUGCAAGUCGAACGAUGAAGCCUAGCUUGCUAGGUGGAUUAGUGGCGCACGGGUGAGUAAUAUAUAGAUAACGUGCCUCUUAGUCUGGGAUAGCCAUUGGAAACGAUGAUUAAUACUAGAUACUCCUUCUGAUUAUAAUUUCAGUCGGGAAAGUUUUUCGCUAAGAGAUCGGUCUAUAUCCCAUCAGCUUGUUGGUAGUGUAAGAGACUACCAAGGCAAUGACGGGUAGCGGGUUUGAGAGGAUGAUCCGCCACACUGGUACUGAGACACGGACCAGACUCCUACGGGAGGCAGCAGUGGGGAAUAUUGCACAAUGGAGGAAACCCUGAUGCAGCAAUACCGCGUGUGUGAAGAAGGCCUGAGGGUUGUAAAGCACUUUCAAUAGGGACGAAAAGCCUAAGUUUAAUACGCUUGGGUCUUGACUUAACCUAUACAAGAAGCACCGGCUAACUCCGUGCCAGCAGCCGCGGUAAUACGGAGGGUGCAAGCGUUAAUCGGAAUUACUGGGCGUAAAGCGCACGUAGGUGGUUUAUUAAGUCAGAUGUGAAAGCCCCGGGCUCAACCUGGGAACUGCAUUUGAAACUGGUAAGCUAGAGUAUGGUAGAGGUAAGUGGAAUUCCAGGUGUAGCGGUGAAAUGCGUAGAGAUCGGAAGGAACAUCAGUGGCGAAGGCGGCCACCUGGACAGAUACUGACGCUGAGGCACGAAAGCGUGGGGAGCAAACGGGAUUAGAUACCCCGGUAGUCCACGCCCUAAACGAUGAACACUAGUCGUCGGGAUGCUUGUCAUCUCGGUGAUGCACUUAACAGAUUAAGUGUUCCGCCUGGGGAGUACGGUCGCAAGAUUAAAACUCAAAGGAAUAGACGGGGACCCGCACAAGUGGUGGAGCAUGUGGUUUAAUUCGAAAAUACGCGAAGAACCUUACCUAGCCUUGACAUUGAUAGAACGGACCAGAGAUGGACCAGUGCCCUUCGGGGAGCUUGAAAACAGGUGCUGCACGGCUGUCGUCAGCUCGUGUCGUGAGAUGUUGGGUUAAGUCCCGCAACGAGCGCAACCCUCGUCCUUAGUUGCCAGCAGGUUAUGCUGGGCACUCUAAGGAGACUGCCUUCGUAAGGAGGAGGAAGGUGAGGACGACGUCAAGUCAUCAUGGCCCUUACGGCUAGGGCUACACACGUGCUACAAUGGGGCGUACAGAGAGUUGCGAUACCGCGAGGUGGAGCCAAUCUCAUAAAGCGUCUCUCAGUUCGGAUUGGAGUCUGCAACUCGACUCCAUGAAGCUGGAAUCACUAGUAAUCGUAGAUCAGCAAUGCUACGGUGAAUACGUUCCCGGGUCUUGUACUCACCGCCCGUCACACCAUGGGAGUUGAUUUCACCCGAAAUUGGGAAGCUAACCUUCGGGGGGCUACCACUUACGGUGGAAUUAGCGACUGGGGUGAAGUCGAAACAAGGUAACC
rnacentral:rRNA from 1 species